AGAGUUUGAUCAUGGCUCAGAUUGAACGCUGGCGGCAGGCCUAACACAUGCAAGUCGAACGGUAACAGGAAGCAGCUUGCUGCUUUGCUGACGAGUGGCGGACGGGUGAGUAAUGUCUGGGAAACUGCCUGAUGGAGGGGGAUAACUACUGGAAACGGUGGCUAAUACCGCAUAACGUCGCAAGACCAAAGAGGGGGACCUUCGGGCCUCUUGCCAUCAGAUGUGCCCAGAUGGGAUUAGCUUGUUGGUGAGGUAACGGCUCACCAAGGCGACGAUCCCUAGCUGGUCUGAGAGGAUGACCAGCCACACUGGAACUGAGACACGGUCCAGACUCCUACGGGAGGCAGCAGUGGGGAAUAUUGCACAAUGGGCGCAAGCCUGAUGCAGCCAUGCCGCGUGUAUGAAGAAGGCCUUCGGGUUGUAAAGUACUUUCAGCGGGGAGGAAGGUGUUGUGGUUAAUAACCGCAGCAAUUGACGUUACCCGCAGAAGAAGCACCGGCUAACUCCGUGCCAGCAGCCGCGGUAAUACGGAGGGUGCAAGCGUUAAUCGGAAUUACUGGGCGUAAAGCGCACGCAGGCGGUCUGUCAAGUCGGAUGUGAAAUCCCCGGGCUCAACCUGGGAACUGCAUUCGAAACUGGCAGGCUUGAGUCUUGUAGAGGGGGGUAGAAUUCCAGGUGUAGCGGUGAAAUGCGUAGAGAUCUGGAGGAAUACCGGUGGCGAAGGCGGCCCCCUGGACAAAGACUGACGCUCAGGUGCGAAAGCGUGGGGAGCAAACAGGAUUAGAUACCCUGGUAGUCCACGCCGUAAACGAUGUCUACUUGGAGGUUGUGCCCUUGAGGCGUGGCUUCCGGAGCUAACGCGUUAAGUAGACCGCCUGGGGAGUACGGCCGCAAGGUUAAAACUCAAAUGAAUUGACGGGGGCCCGCACAAGCGGUGGAGCAUGUGGUUUAAUUCGAUGCAACGCGAAGAACCUUACCUGGUCUUGACAUCCACGGAAGUUUUCAGAGAUGGAAUGUGCCUUCGGGAACCGUGAGACAGGUGCUGCAUGGCUGUCGUCAGCUCGUGUUGUGAAAUGUUGGGUUAAGUCCCGCAACGAGCGCAACCCUUAUCCUUUGUUGCCAGCGGUCCGGCCGGGAACUCAAAGGAGACUGCCAGUGAUAAACUGGAGGAAGGUGGGGAUGACGUCAAGUCAUCAUGGCCCUUACGACCAGGGCUACACACGUGCUACAAUGGCGCAUACAAAGAGAAGCGACCUCGCGAGAGCAAGCGGACCUCAUAAAGUGCGUCGUAGUCCGGAUUGGAGUCUGCAACUCGACUCCAUGAAGUCGGAAUCGCUAGUAAUCGUGGAUCAGAAUGCCACGGUGAAUACGUUCCCGGGCCUUGUACACACCGCCCGUCACACCAUGGGAGUGGGUUGCAAAAGAAGUAGGUAGCUUAACCUUCGGGAGGGCGCUUACCACUUUGUGAUUCAUGACUGGGGUGAAGUCGUAACAAGGUAACCGUAGGGGAACCUGCGGUUG
rnacentral:rRNA from 4 species